UCCAAUAGUCCUCUAAACGGCUUUUGA
rnacentral:sRNA from 1 species